rnacentral:rRNA from 1 species
GGACCCGCACAAGCGGUGGAGCAUGUGGUUUAAUUCGAUGCAACGCGAAGAACCUUACCUGGUCUUGACAUCCUGCGAACUUUCUAGAAAUAGAUUGGUGCCUUCGGGAACGCAGUGACAGGUGCUGCAUGGCUGUCGUCAGCUCGUGUCGUGAGAUGUUGGGUUAAGUCCCGUAACGAGCGCAACCCCUAUCCUUAUUUGCCAGCACAUCAUGGUGGGAACUAUAAGGAGACUGCCGGUGAUAAACCGGAGGAAGGCGGGGACGACGUCAAGUCAUCAUGGCCCUUACGACCAGGGCUACACACGUGCUACAAUGGGAAGGACAAAGAGCCGCGAAGCCGCGAGGUGUAGCUAAUCCGACAAACCUAGUCGUAGUCCGGAUCGGAGUCUGCAACUCGACUCCGUG